rnacentral:rRNA from 1 species
UUCCAGACUCCUACGAGAGGCAGCAGUGAGGAAUAUUGGUCAAUGGCCGGGAGGCUGAACCAGCCAAGUCGCGUGAGGGAAGACGGCCCUACGGGUUGUAAACCUCUUUUGUCAGGGAGCAAUUGGCGCUACGUGUAGCGUUAUCGAGAGUACCUGAAGAAAAAGCACCGGCUAACUCCGUGCCAGCAGCCGCGGUAAUACGGAGGGUGCGAGCGUUAAUCGGAAUUACUGGGCGUAAAGCGCUCGUAGGCGGUAUGUCAAGUCAAGGGUGAAAUCCCCGCGCUCAACGUGGGAACUGCCUUUGAAACUGGCAAACUGGAGUGUGUGAGAGGAUAGUGGAAUUCCAGGUGUAGGAGUGAAAUCCGUAGAUAUCUGGAGGAACAUCAGUGGCGAAGGCGACUAUCUGGCACAUAACUGACGCUGAGGAGCGAAAGCGUGGGUAGCAAACAGGAUUAGAUACCCGCGUAC